GCUUAACACAUGCAAGUCGAACGCAACCUUCGGGUUGAGUGGCGGACGGGUGAGUAACGCGUGAGAAUCUGCCUUGGGGUCGGGGACAACCACUGGAAACGGUGGCUAAUACCGGAUAAGCCUUUGGGUAAAAGAUUUAUUGCCCCAAGAGGAGCUCGCGUCUGAUUAGCUAGUUGGUGAGGUAAAAGCUCACCAAGGCAGCGAUCAGUAGCUGGUCUGAGAGGACGAUCAGCCACACUGGGACUGAGACACGGCCCAGACUCCUACGGGAGGCAGCAGUGGGGAAUUUUCCGCAAUGGGCGAAAGCCUGACGGAGCAAGACCGCGUGAGGGAGGAAGGCUCUUGGGUUGUAAACCUCUUUUCUCAGGGAAGAAGCUCUGACGGUACCUGAGGAAUCAGCCUCGGCUAACUCCGUGCCAGCAGCCGCGGUAAUACGGAGGAGGCCAGCGUUAUCCGGAAUUAUUGGGCGUAAAGCGUCCGCAGGUGGCGAUUCAAGUCUGCUGUCAAAGCACGGGGCUUAACUCCGUUAAGGCAGUGGAAACUGAAUAGCUAGAGUGCCGUAGGGGUAGAGGGAAUUCCCGGUGUAGCGGUGAAAUGCGUAGAGAUCGGGAAGAACAUCGGUGGCGAAAGCGCUCUACUGGACGGCAACUGACACUCAGGGACGAAAGCUAGGGGAGCGAAUGGGAUUAGAUACCCCAGUAGUCCUAGCUGUAAACGAUGGAUACUAGGUGUAGCUUGUAUCGACCCG
rnacentral:rRNA from 1 species